rnacentral:rRNA from 1 species
GACGAACGCUGGCGGCGUGCUUAACACAUGCAAGUCGAACGAGUGGCGAACGGGUGAGUAAUACGUGGGUAACCUGCCCUCUUUUUGGGAUAAGCCUUGGAAACGGGGUCUAAUACCGAAUAAGGGGGUUGGGCUCGCGGCCUAUCAGCUUGGUGGGGGGGUGAUGGACUACCAAGGCGGUGACGGGUAGCCGGCUUGAGAGGGGGACGGGACACAUUGGGACUGAGAUACGGCCAAGGCUCGUACGGGAGGCAGCAGUGGGGGAUAUGGCACAAUGGGCGAAAGCCCGAUGCAGCGAUGCGGCGUGGGGGAUGGAGGCUUUAGGGUUGUAAACCUCUGUGGCUAGCGAACGGGUAGGUGGAGAAGAAGCGCCGGCUAACUACGUGCCAGCAGCCGCGGUAAUAC